UGAAGACCAGAAUGAGUCACUCCGAAUAUCAAUCAACAGGGUGCCUUGGGUGCCUUGGGGGUCGGUGCUCAAGCAGAAACAAUUGACUGGGGGUGGAUAUCGAUUGCCACCUGAAGAUGCUGCCAUCGAAGGGACUACAUUUUAAGCAACAUCUGCAUUCCAAAGACUUCAACUACUUUACUUGGUUGACAUACUUUAAAAGGCAUCUAUAAGACUUUGAUAACAGGAUUAUGUUGGUUUUGGAGCUUUUACAUACUGCCAAAACAUUUGAUGGGAAGAAGUCUCAAGGUUCUAUCCAGGAUCCGCAGAUCAUCUGUUCUUGAAGUUAUGUCUUGAUGGCCCUGAAAUGAUCCUGCUACCUUCCAGCCCUGCUAGAGAAUGAAAAUAUGAGAAACUGUUUAAAUGGCCCAUUACCCAGACAUGCCACACUACCAAGCCCUUCUAAGGGCUAACCAUAGCUCUGGACUCUGCUGGGCCCUGAAAUACAGAAUUCUUCCCUCCAGGUUCCUCUGAUGUUUUCCUUUCAAUAUCUCUGCUCCAUCUGUCUUCUAUCCAGGCAAAACAAUUCAUCUUUUGCUUGCUUCAUAAGCAUCAAGCAAAAUCUCCUUAAUGAAUUAAUACGUUUGUAAACCAAAAGCCCUGAAGAUACCCUUUUUUCUACUUUCCUUCCCUGAGGCAAUGAGUUUACUAUGUGCUUGUGAUGAGGGAGCAUAAAGCAAACUGACAGGCCACAAACACCCCUCCCCUCCUCCCUUCCCCCACCCCAGGUGGAAUAUGUGUGAUAUUCAGGCACUCCUGGCUGCCCAAGAACAAAGGAAAGGGGAAAACAAAUGGUUAACUGAUAGAGAUCAUAGUCCUGCAGUCCUCCAUAAUGAAGUGGGAAACAAAGGGCAGAAGGAAAUGACAGAUAGAACUAAAUUUC